rnacentral:rRNA from 1 species
UAAGCAUAUCAAUAAGCGGAGGAAAAGAAAGCAACAGCGAUAGCCUCAGUAACGGCGAGUGAAGCGGCUACAGCUCAAAUUUGAAAUCUGGCCUCCUUUGGGGGUCCGAGUUGUAAUUUGCAGAGGAUGCUUUGGCAUUGGCGGCGGUCUAAGUUCCUUGGAACAGGACAUCGCAGAGGGUGAGAAUCCCGUACGUGGGCGCCUGCCUUUGCCGUGUAAAGCUCCUUCGACGAGUCGAGUUGUUUGGGAAUGCAGCUCUAAAUGGGAGGUAAAUUUCUCCUAAAGCUAAAUACCGGCCAGAGACCGAUAGCGCACAAGUAGAGUGAUCGAAAGAUGAAAAGUACUUUGGAAAGAGAGUCAAAUAGCACGUGAAAUUGUUGAAAGGGAAGCGCUUGCAGCCAGACUUGCCCGCAGUUGCUCACCUAGGCUUUCGCCUGGGGCACUCUUCUGCGGGCAGGCCAGCAUCAGUUUGGGCGGUCGGAUAAAGGCCUCUGUCAUGUACCACCCCUCGGGGUGGCCUUAUAGGGGAGGCGUAAUGCGACCAGCCCGGACUGAGGUCCGCGCAUCUGCUAGGAUGCUGGCGUAAUGGCUGUAAGCGGCCCGUCUUGAAAACACGGACCAAGGAGUCUAACAUCUAUGCGAGUGUUUGGGUGUCAAGCCCGGGCGCGCAAUGAAAGUGAACGGAGGUGGGAACCUUUCGGGGUGCACCAUCGACCGAUCCUGAAGUCUUCGGAUGGAUUUGAGUAAGAGCAUAGCUGUUGGGACCCGAAAGAUGGUGAACUAUGCUGAAUAGGGUGAAGCCAG